UACAGAGGGGCAAGCGUUAUUCGGAAUUAUUGGGCGUAAGGGCGCGUAGGCGGCCUGGCAAGUGGAUGGUGAAAUCCCUCGGCUUAACCGAGGAACUGCCAUCCAGACUGCUUGGCUUGAGACCGGGAGAGGUGAGUGGAAUUCCCAGUGGUAGCGGUGAAAUGCGUAGAUAUUGGGAGGAACACCAGUGGCGAAGGCGGCUCACUGGACCGGUACUGACGCUGAUGCGCGAAAGCGUGGGGAGCAAACGGG
rnacentral:rRNA from 1 species